rnacentral:rRNA from 1 species
UCGGGAAUUUUGGGCAAUGGGCGAAAGCCUGACCCAGCAACGCCGCGUGAAGGAUGAAGUAUUUCGGUAUGUAAACUUCGUAAGAAUAGGAAGAAUAAAUGACGGUACUAUUUGUAAGGUCCGGCUAACUACGUGCCAGCAGCCGCGGUAAUACGUAGGGACCAAGCGUUGUUCGGAUUUACUGGGCGUAAAGGGCGCGUAGGCGGUGUGUCAAGUCAGUUGUGAAAUCUCCGAGCUUAACUCGGAACGGUCAACUGAUACUGUCACACUAGAGUACAGAAGGGGCAAUCGGAAUUCUUGGUGUAGCGGUGAAAUGCGUAGAUAUCAAGAGGAACACCUGAGGCGAAGGCGGGUUGCUGGGCUGAUACUGACGCUGAGGCGCGAAAGCUAGGGUAGCAAACGGGAUUAGAUACCCCCGUAGUCCCUGAGCGGGCUGGCAAGGCGCAU